rnacentral:lncRNA from 1 species
GCCGCGUCCGCGCGCGCGGGGCGGCCGCGGCGGUGAGCCUGCGCGUCAGGGCCGCCGGCCUCUCCUUGGCUGUUGGAGGUGAUAGGGGUCGAGGGGAGGGAAAAAGGGGCUGGCGUCAGCCGCCCCUGUGAGGUGGCCGUAGCGUGGACGAGUAAGAAGGGUUGAGUAAAGUGGACAAACACCUGGUUAGGAGAAGAGGGCAGGCCCGCAGCCGCCCUCCGGAGGAGGACUCGGGGCCUCGCGGGCGCCGGAGGAGGUUCCUGGGCCUCGGAGGGCCGCCCCGGCGCGCCGCCCCGGCGCGAGCGGGCGCGGGCGGGGGAGGGGAAGUGAGAGGUUGUUUAUGACCGGGGACUAAUCUCCUCCGCGAGUCCCAGCGCUCCCUCUGGGGAGUGCGGUUGAGGGGCUGUCCUCGCACGGAGCCUCGCUCGGCCUCGGGGGAGCCACGAGAGGUGGGAGUUGGACCCGCAGCGGGCCAGGAGCCCUGUCAUUGGAGGACCCGCCAAAAAGGAAGCAAACCCUCUUUUUCUUUAUCCAACCCCAAAUAGCUAGGGCCUAGGGGGAAGACUCACAUAUCGAUAAAUGGUUUGUUGCCCGUUUUAUUCUCUGGGAAAUACAACUGAUCUUACCAAAGAAAUAACCUGUCUCUUGCCGUGUUUACUUAGAGCCAUAGAAUACCUGUUUCAGAGCUGAAGGGGACCUGAGCCCAUGAUAAUCCAUUACCUCGUGAGAAAGCGGAAAAACUGACUUCAGCUUGCCCAGAUGGCGCAGAGAAUGGGUUUCCCGUAACCCCGCCUGUGUCUUUCCUUCAGCCUCGUCCCAAAUGCCGUGGGAGGGAAGGCACUCUCUGUCAAGCUGCUGUCACCUUACCUGAAGUAAGGAGUCCACGCCUGCAUGUCCGAGGAAAACAGUUUUCUCAAACACAUUAGUUGAAAAACUGAAGACGCUGCCUAAAAUACAAGCUGAGUUAGAGACAGCCCUUGUAAGACUAGAACACAUAAAAGCACUGUGGAAGUGGCAACAGGGAAGGUGAGAAGAGGAUUAUCAAAGACAUUGUGAUGAUAGAAUGGACAGGACUUGGUGAACUGAGUUGAUGCAGGCAGAAUCAUGAUAUUGUGUGAUUAAAGCCAUCUUGUGUCAUAUAAGGCUCAAACUGUAAUACUGGCUCUUCUCAGGUCUUGAGCCUACUUGCCUUCAGAUUGGAACUUUACCAUCUGCUCUCCUGGUUCUCAGGCCUUCAGGGGAGUCUAGAACUAUGCCACUGACUCUCCUGGUCUCCAGUUUUUCAACUUCAAAUCUUGGGAUUUAGUCUCGAUGAUCAUAGGAAAUCAGAAGUGGAGAGGAUGUAUGCAGAGGGAGCUGUGAGAAGUGGACAGCUGCCCACACUAACCAGUGAGACUAAAGACCCAGCCAAGUUCUUCAGGGAGAUUGCUUUGGUAGCUAUGGGAAUAAUAUGGACAAGCAAGCAAGUCAUCUGGACUCUUGAUGGGCUGAGAUGCCACGCUGGCAAGCAGGUGGUCAACCUCUAGGAGAUUCAACAAGCAUGCCUGUGAGGGUUCAGAGCGCUGUGUCAGGAAUGUGAUGGGAAGUAACAGGCAAAGGCAAAAUAUUACUGGUAUUAAGGAAAUGGCGUUAAAGAAAACGGACACUUCACUGUCUACUUGUGUCAGAGCUUCCCCAUGGUCAUUUAAUCUAACACGCCUGUAAGCUAAGUGUUCCUACUUUUUCAGAAAAAGAAAUGGAAACUAAGUAACAUGAAUUAACAUAGUCCAGGGUCACAAAGCAACAUGGAACAAGAACCUGGAUCUGAAUUCAGAGGCAGAAUGCUGGAAUCUAAGCCAGAAUGAGGUUACUGCCUAGGCAAAGAAGAAGACAGCUCAUCACAGGCUCAGCCAAUUCAUUGAGGCUCUUCAUGUUACUCUGGAAUCACAAAAUGUAAGAAUAAAAGGGGUAGAAAGUC